GAAAUGCGAUAAGUAAUGUGAAUUGCAGAAUUCAGUGAAUCAUCGAAUCUUUGAACGCACAUUGCGCCCGCCAGUAUUCUGGCGGGCAUGCCUGUCCGAGCGUCAUUUCAACCAUCAAGCCCCCGGGCUUGUGUUGGGGACCUGCGGCUGCCCGCAGGCCCUGAAAACCAGUGGCGGGCUCGCUGUCACACCGAGCGUAGUAGCAAUCACCUCGCUCUGGGCGUGCUGCGGGUUCCGGCCGUUAAACAGCCUUACAAAACCCAAGGUUGACCUCGGAUCAGGUAGGAAGACCCGCUGAACUUAAGC
rnacentral:misc_RNA from 1 species